UACGGAGGGUGCUAGCGUUGUUCGGAAUCACUGGGCGUAAAGCGCACGUAGGCGGAUUGUUAAGUCAGGGGUGAAAUCCUGGAGCUCAACUCCAGAACUGCCUUUGAUACUGGCAAUCUCGAGUUCGGGAGAGGUGAGUGGAACUGCGAGUGUAGAGGUGAAAUUCGUAGAUAUUCGCAAGAACACCAGUGGCGAAGGCGGCUCACUGGCCCGAUACUGACGCUGAGGUGCGAAAGCGUGGGGAGCAAACAGG
rnacentral:rRNA from 1 species